AGUGGCGGACGGGUGAGUAACGCGUGAGAAUCUGCCUUGGGGUCGGGGACAACCACUGGAAACGGUGGCUAAUACCGGAUACGCCUUCGGGUAAAAGAUUUAUUGCCCUAAGAGGAGCUCGCGUCUGAUUAGCUAGUUGGUGAGGUAAGAGCUCACCAAGGCAGCGAUCAGUAGCUGGUCUGAGAGGACGAUCAGCCACACUGGGACUGAGACACGGCCCAGACUCCUACGAGAGGCAGCAGUGGGGAAUUUUCCGCAAUGGGCGAAAGCCUGACGGAGCAAGACCGCGUGAGGGAGGAAGGCUCUUGGGUUGUAAACCUCUUUUCUCAGGGAAGAAGCUCUGACGGUACCUGAGGAAUCAGCCUCGGCUAACUCCGUGCCAGCAGCCGCGGUAAUACGGAGGAGGCAAGCGUUAUCCGGAAUUAUUGGGCGUAAAGCGUCCGCAGGUGGCGAUUCAAGUCUGCUGUCAAAGCACGGGGCUUAACUCCGUAAAGGCAGUGGAAACUGAAUAGCUAGAGUGCCGUAGGGGUAGAGGGAAUUCCCGGUGUAGCGGUGAAAUGCGUAGAGAUCGGGAAGAACAUCGGUGGCGAAAGCGCUCUACUGGACGGCAACUGACACUCAGGGACGAAAGCUAGGGGAGCGAAUGGGAUUAGAUACCCC
rnacentral:rRNA from 1 species